CACGCAUGCGCACCGCGACAGCUCACGAUGCCCGCCUACUGGCGCCCUAGCAACCGGGUUGCGAACCAUGUUCUAUCCCGACUAAGUGGCCGUCCUGGGAGUUAUAGUGCCACUAGCCGGCCUCGGCUGUUCCCUGUCCGAGGCUCUUGUCAUUUCCGCUUAUUUCCUCCACGGGUGCCGAUUUCAUGUGUGUGUUCCCGAGUGCCUGAGCCGGCUCCCGAAAUGAGUACUCGUGGUUUCCGCGUGGGAACCAACCUCGAGCGCCAGUGGCCCGCCCUCUCCGGGCUGAGGUGGCUGCUGAGGCUGGGGCUGCUCCUGAGGCUUCAGGGCCGCCCGCUGCACGGCUUUCUACCUUCCCAGGUUAGCCGCGGUCAACUUCUGCCAGGCGGAGCGAGAAAUCGCAUUUUGUCAGAGACAGUUGGAUUUUUUUCCUGUUUCUGGUUAAUUGCUAAAAUCUACAGUGUGCUGAAGGUGGAGUAAAGUAUUUCCCCAAAGGAUUCCAAGCACAUCUCCCUUGCCCUUGAAUAUCUGUAUAUCUAUAUGAACAUCAAUUGAGAUAUAUAUGUGUGUGCCCCUAAUUACAUAAUUUUAAGCAUAUAUAUAAAAAUGUAAAAUCUCAUUGUCUGGCCUCAGUUUGUAUGACACAAAAUACUGAUUGUAUGGAAGAAAACAGAUUGGGAAACAGAUUUAUUCUAUAUCAUAUUUUCCUGAAAAGCUACCUUAAAAAGAUUUAAAUUAAAGCAAUUAGAGCAAGGGAGGCACAUUUCUUUAAAAAAUUAAAGUUGAGUACCAUACUGGUUUUUCAGAUGAAAUUUUCUUUUCCUUUUUCUCCUUCAUAUUGCUCAGAGCAUCUAAUUCCAUCAGAACUAUUGUCAAAUAAAUUUUAUGUAAAAUGUGUAUUUUUCUAAUGGGAGUUGAUUAUACAAACUGUAUUACACCUUUGUAUCUGAGUGAUCAUUUAAAAAUGCAUAUUGGUUUAGCACAUAGAGUUUAUGAAAUGCCAGAUAAUGCUCUUAUUCCUCAGUGAAAUCUGCACAUUUCUAGUUGUUGGUGGUCUAUUUCUGUUUGCUGUUCCUUGGAGGGGGGCUGAGAAUGUUCAAGUUUGACUUAGCUGUGUUUAAGUAAUAAAUCUUUGGAGUCAAUUUU
rnacentral:lncRNA from 1 species